rnacentral:rRNA from 1 species
GACGAACGCUGGCGGCGUGCUUAACACAUGCAAGUCGAACGGAAAGGCCCUGCUUUUGUGGGGUGCUCGAGUGGCGAACGGGUGAGUAACACGUGAGUAACCUGCCCUUUACUUUGGGAUAACUUCAGGAAACUGGUGCUAAUACCGGAUAGGAGCUCCUGCUGCAUGGUGGGGGUUGGAAAGUUUCGGCGGUUGGGGAUGGACUCGCGGCUUAUCAGCUUGUUGGUGGGGUAGUGGCUUACCAAGGCUUUGACGGGUAGCCGGCCUGAGAGGGUGACCGGCCACAUUGGGACUGAGAUACGGAGCAGACUCCUACGGGAGGCAGCAGUGGGGAAUAUGGCACAAUGGGCGGAAGCCUGAUGCAGCAACGCCGCGUGCGGGAUGACGGCCUUCGGGUUGUAAACCGCUUUAGCCUGUGACGAAGCGUGAGUGACGGUAAUGGGUAAAGAAGCACCGGCUAACUACGUG